GUGGUUAAUUCGAUGCAACGCGAAAACCUUACCCACCUUUGACAUGUACGGAAUCCUUUAGAGAUAGAGGAGUGCUCGAAAGAGAGCCGUAACACAGGUGCUGCAUGGCUGUCGUCAGCUCGUGUCGUGGGAUGUUCGGGUUAAGUCCCGCAACGAGCGCAACCCUUGUCAUUAGUUGCUACGAAAGGGGCACUCUAAUGAGACUGCCGGUGACAAACCGGAGGAAGGUGGGGAUGACGUCAAGUCCUCAUGGCCCUUAUAGGUGGGGCUACACACGUCAUACAAUGGCCGGUACAGAGGGUAGCCAACCCGCGAGGGGGAGCCAAUCCCACAAAGCCGGUCGUAGUCCGGAUCGCAGUCUGCAACUCGACUGCGUGAAGUCGGAAUCGCUAGUAAUCGCGGAUCAGCAUGUCGCGGUGAAUACGUUCCCGGGUCUU
rnacentral:rRNA from 1 species